rnacentral:rRNA from 1 species
GAUGAACGCUGGCGGCGUGCCUAAUACAUGCAAGUCGAGCGAACGGACGAGAAGCUUGCUUCUCUGAUGUUAGCGGCGGACGGGUGAGUAACACGUGGAUAACCUACCUAUAAGACUGGUAUAACUUCGGGAAACCGUAGCUAAUACCGGAUAAUAUUUUGAACCGCAUGGUUCAAAAGUGAAAGACGGUCUUUCUGUCACUUAUAGAUGUAUCCGCGCUGCAUUAGCUAGUUGGUAAGGUAACGGCUUACCAAGGCAACGAUGCAUAGCCGACCUGAGAGGGUGAUCGGCCACACUGGAACUGAGACACGGUCCAGACUCCUACGGGAGGCAGCAGUAGGGAAUCUUCCGAAAUGGGCGAAAGCAUGACGGAGCAACGCCGCGUGAGUGAUGAAGGUCUUCGGAUCGUAAAACUCUGUUAUUAGGGAAGAACAUAUGUGUAAGUAACUGUGCACAUAUUGACGGUACCUAAUCAGAAAGCCACGGCUAACUACGUG